CCAGCGCGCCCCCCGCCGGUACGUGUCCGCGCGUCCUCCGCCCCUGUUCUUUUAGUUAAAAGGGCUCAGAGACGGCGGUCCAAUGAGCGAGCGCAGGAUGAUGCUCUCCGUCGGCCGGCGCCGAUGCGGCCAUGCGUAGCGUACGGAGCAACCGUUUAUGUAUUGGGGGGUGCGCAUGGGCAUGGCACCGGGCGCGCGCGGGCUGAUGGUGUCAGGUCGAUCGCGCGGGGACUUUUGUUAAACGGGGGGCAGAGAAUCUCGGUCAAACGACGGGGGCGGUUUAACUUUGUGGCUAAACAAAUCACCACCCUACCGGCUUUGCGAAAGUCACCACGAUCAGAUGCUCGGUACUUUGUGGACUGAUGGAAACAGAGGACCUGCGUGGAAAGGCCUACAUCUUUCUUGAGUUCAAGGCUGGGGUGAGGUUCCUGAGGAUAUUCGUUCUGUGGGAGGAGACAUUUUCGUCGACUACGGAGGCGUCAGUGGCGGCUUCGUCAAUCUCAAAAUAAUGUGUUGGUUCAGUCUCUCAGAGGUGCUCAUAGGGAUAGAGGAGCAUGCGUGCGUACAUUCAUUCAAGGUCAUGGAGGCACGGUGGAUUCUGUCCUUUGUUGGCGGGAGGGCUCAUGCUUCAUUUUAAGUAUUGCUAAGGAAGGCAAGGCAGCGGCGCUUCUUUAACGAUGGAAUAAGGUUCUACCCGCCUAGGAUUUGUCCCCGCAGUGCGUCUCACGUCCCAACGGAUCUUGCGGGAUUUUGUUGUCUUUGGUAGAUUUAUGUGGAUUUGAUCUUCGUCCGUCUGUGUUACGUCUACAAGUCUAUGCUUCUCGUCAUCGGCGACGAAUGUUGUUCUGGGGUGCUAGUCCUUUUGGGCCUUAGCAUAACGGCUUCUUGACUGUUCACUAGAACAUAGUUUGUCCGACUCCGGUGAGGGAGGAGCGAUGACAACGACGCACCUUCGCCUCACUCUAGUGUUUGUAGUUGUCGCUCGAGGUCUACAUACAUGGAUGCAAUUUUUUGUAACUUCUCGUGUUUUUUGUACUGUCGUGAUGUUUGAUGAAUAGAUCGAAAAUUUUACCCCAAAAACAUUAUAAACUUUGCUCCAUUUUGGGGCCGUUUGGUUUGUACUAACUUUGCCAAAGAUUGCCACAUCUAAGGUUUGGCAAGUUUGACCAAUUUAGGCAAGUGUUUGGUUCCAGACACACCUUAGGCAAGCUACACUUGGGUCUCACAUGGCAUACACACAAAAAUUGUGGUAAAAUUCCCUUAGGCUUGCCAACUUCUCUUUGCUGACGUCUCGGUGCCCCUGCUCCCCCCGCCACGCCCAUCUGACAUCUAAGAUUAGGCAAGUUUGACCAAUUUAGGCAAGUGUUUGGUUCCAGACAAACCUUAGGCAAGCCACAC